rnacentral:rRNA from 1 species
UCGACGCAGUAGCAAUACUGAGUGGCAGACGGGUGAGUAUAAUGUGGGAAUCUGCCUUUUGGUUUGGAAUAACACGGGGAAACUUGUGCUAAUACCGAAUAAGCCCUUACGGGGAAAGUUUUAACGCCGAAAGAUGAGCCUGCACUUGAUUAGCUAGUUGGUAAGGUAAAGGCUUACCAAGGCAACGAUCAAUAGCUGUUCUUAGAGGAAGACCAGCCACAUUGGGACUGAGACACGGCCCAGACUCCUACGGGAGGCAGCAGUGGGGAAUCUUGCACAAUGGGGGAAACCCUGAUGCAGCGAUGCCGCGUGAGUGAAGAAGGCCUUUGGGUUGUAAAACUCUUUCGUCGGGGAAGAAAAUGACUGUACCCGAAUAAGAAGGUCCGGCUAACUUCGUGCCAGCAGCCGCGGUAAUACGAAGGGACCUAGCGUAGUUCGGAAUUACUGGGCUUAAAGAGCUCGUAGGUGGUUAAAAAAGUUGAUGGUGAAAUCCCAAGGCUCAACCUUGGAACUGCCAUCAAAACUUUUUAGCUAGAGUGUGAUAGAGGUAAGUGGAAUUUCUAGUGUAGAGGUGAAAUUCGUAGAUAUUAGAAAGAACACCAAAUGCGAAGGCAACUUACUGGGUCACUACUGACACUGAGGAGCGAAAGCAUGGGUAGCGAAGAGGAUUAGAUACCCUCGUAGUCCAUGCCGUAAACGAUGUGUGCUAGACGUUGGAAAUAUAUUUUUCAGUGUCGCAGCGAAAGCAUUAAGCACACCGC